UCUGUCCUCUUUCAGCUUAAAAACAUUACCCCUCAUCCUAUCACUGCAUGCCCUUGUGUUUAACAUGUUGAGCAAGCUCUCUGAGGAAAACAGCCAACUGUCGAAAUCUCACUUGCCCAAAAGCUCCUGUUCCAGUAAGUUUUUCUGUUUGCACAUCCUGGUACAGAAUUGGAACCUGUUCUCGGAAAAUACUCUUGGGAGGUAAACAACUGUGCUUAGGAAAACUUGAUGACUGCUUCCUAUUGACAGAAGCAAGCUCUUCUUUGGAGCAGUGCCAGCUUUUGAAAGGAAAAACCUUAUCUUAUUUCUUAGCCAUUCCCUGGGCUUUGAAAUCCCUUCAGAAGUUCAGAGCCCCUGAGAGUCCCGGCAACUUUUGUUUGUAAUUUUGAAAUUAUUUCCUUAUACUCUUUGGUUUAGGUGCCUUCACCUAGUUCCUGCCUUUUGUAUGCAGAAGCCUGCCUCCAGCUGUCCUAAGAGACCCUGCUUGAAAAGAGGCAGAGGAAAGGAGAUGUCAGGUUAGGAACCAGCUCUACCUCAACAGGGGUCCAGCAUGACCCAAAACAUGAGGGCUGUGGUCAGGAUCAUCUGCCUCCUGCUCAUAUGGGUUUGAUUUGCUGAAUGCUCUGAGGGCACAGGCUGACAGCUGGUGUCCCCAGAGGGACGAGUCUGUUGUGCUUCCUUUCUGGUAGCCUAAUUUAUUUGCUCUGUUAGCACUUGACUUUAAUGAUAACUCGUAUGUAAAUGGUCAGGGACAGUUGGAGCCUUUUAUAUACUAAUUAAAUAGAAUGUAUACUAGUACAUGAAUGUGGAAAAUGCGGUGCUUUAAGGUGAUUAAUUCAAAGUGCCAGUCGGAUCUUGUAACUCAGUUGGCUUCCUGUGGCAAAUGGCGAUAGGGGAGUUCGGCCGCAUGGAAACGAGAGGCUGCGGGAGGGGUCUGCAAUGCGAACUGGUGGUUCUGGACACAGUUCGGCAUGUGCUGCACAUACUUGGUGUGCUUGGCCAGAGCUCGCCUGGCUUUUUGAGCCUGGGAGGUCACCUGCUGGUGGCUCAGCCUCGGUGCACCCCGACACGGCUCCCGAGGCCGGUGCCAGCAGCGCCUGCGGCUGCUGGGGACCCCCCGAGCCCCGGCUGCUGCCCCCGGAGCGGAGCUCCCCGAGCGCUCGGAUGUACCAGCGAAGCUGCCGUCAGCACCAAGCCUUCCUCUGGGCUGGCCAGUCCUGUCUCCGGAGGUGUGGAACAGCAAUUUUAUGUGGUGAUGAAAAAAGGCAGGCACGUACAUAGCCUUGAAUUUACUGGAGAAAGGACAGCUCUUGCUUCUGUUGCUUAUUAGGAGGUAUAGCAGUAUCAUUUGUUUAUAAAAUAAGCUGUAAUAGUAUUGGCUUCUGCAGGGCACAAUGCUAAAACACAUAGGGAAGGUGGAUGGUAGUCCGUUAUCAGUUAUGGAAAUCAUCUGGAAGGGCAGAUGUGGGAGUGUGAAUGAGCCAUGCAGCUCUCCGUGUCCUGCUGAUGGACACUUGAAUUUGCUAUGAGGACUUCUCUGAUACAGUUUGAUGGAUCUUAAGUUCGAUUUAAGAAAUGCUUUCAUGAAAAACUCUCUGCUCAUCAAAACCUCAUUCUCGUUGUGCAGAACUGUCUGGUGUGAGGUUGCUUCUGAUACCUGUUUAAAGUUAGCAUAGGUGUCACCACACUGCACCGCGCAAUGAAGGUAUGUCCUGAAUCCCUCUACAACGUUCUUCAAUCUACACAAGGGUACCUCGGACAUGCCACCUCCUUCUUAAACUCACGUGUCGUAACAGCCCAGGAUUCCAAGGUAAAUGCUAAAUAAAUAUCUGUAAUGUAGGAGGAAGCUGUUGAGUCAGGUAGUUUACAAUUACACAGUGGGACCCUUUUUCCUUCACUUCAGUUUACUAGUUUGGUUGAAGCAAAAGGCAGACACUUCUUCCUUUAGGUGGAACGGAUAUAAGUAGAACUAUAUCUCAGCAUAAACAGGCUUCAAAGGGAAAUUGCUGGUCUUAGUUAAAACAAACAUUUAUAGCACUCAUAAACCAUUAAAAAGAAUAUUUAGAAUACUUUGACUUACUUUUAAACAAGGGUUAUCAACAAAUGUACUGGUACUAUCCAGACUUGCUUAUUUUGGUGGUGUUUAAAAUGUAAUUGGUGUAUCAUAAUUCUUCCAUUUUCAUCCAGUGUACUGGCAAUUUUCUUCUUGAUUAGUCAGUGAUGUUCUUUGCAGUUUCUCUUGUGUUUCAACUGGACUUUGAAAGGAAAGACAGUGUCUUAAGCAUGGGCAAACAAAUGAAUCACUGUGAUCAAGCUGGCAUCUGAAUUUAUAACCUAUAAAUGUUUGAGGUAACUGUGUGUAUGUUUCCAUCCUCUAGUUAAUGUGAAGUAAUCUCAUGCCACAGUUACCUGGCAGUAACUUGUUCAUGUGCCCACAUUCUCAACUUCCCUAGGUGCCUUGGAGCAAUAAUGCAGGAACUAGCCUGCCUGCCUGCAGCCAUCGUGCACAGCCUGAUUUUCCAAUUCAGUGUGUUUCAAAAUUAGUAUUUGAAGUCUGAUGCAGAAAUGAGAUUUUAUUGUUCUUAAUUGGGGAAGGAAGGAGGUGAUUCUCUAUCAGACUGUUAAUAUAAAAUGAGUGCAUUACAUGGGUUGCUGAUAGGGGCAAACGGCACGCACACAACUGUUUCUGUCAGAGCGGUAAAGUUCCUCGGUAAUGAUGGUAGUAAAGGCAAUUCCUUAGAGAAUUUGAUCAUUUUAGGAACCAGAUUGAAAUUUUGUGUCCAUGAUAACAGAAAUCUGGGUUUAUUGACUCAGGUUCUUACCAGACCUAAGCCCCCUUCUCACCAGCUUUCUGCCCAGGACUUCAACACUGCAUUAUCACACAGGGAUUAUCCGAACACAGCACAGCACACCUCUCUCUGGGUCCUCUUAGAGGAAGCUCUCAAAUUCUGUGGGAAGCGUACAGAGGAAAGGGAAGACCUCCCUGGCUUUGUCAGGAGCCAGGGACAGCAUGCCCACCCCCCGCCAACCCACCAGGGCCACCAUGCUGGCCUCUCCAGCCCCAGAGCAACUCGGAAUUGCGUGCUUAAAAGCAGCCCUUCAUGGGCUGCAGAACAUUAUUGACUGCAGUAUAAAAUGUUUCAUGCUGUAGCCUUUCUGGCCUUCUUUUGGCCACUGGUUGUAAUCUGGUCAUAUGUAAAUAAAGUUUUCAUUUUAUUCCACAGUGAGAUUACAGAACUGUUUUUCACUGCUUAUGUUCUUCUGCUGCACAGGAGUCUGACAAGUGCUUUUAUGGAAAAUACGUCUUAGUCAAAUAGUGUGUUUUAAUGAGUCUUUUAGUUUGGUUAAGUAAGAGUAACUGUGUUAACGUAAAGAACUAAUAUUUCUAUCCAGUUCUUCUUUCUUUAAUUCCUUACCUAGUCUCAAAUACCGUAAAACGUUUCAGUGAGGUAUGUCUGUUUAACGAGGAAGUGCAUGAAAUAAGAGAAUAGAAGGUUAGUAGUAAUAGUGGGAUGAAAUUCUGAUUGUUUCAGAGCUAGCAGGGCAAGGCUUCUGCUCACAGAAUGAGGCCAGAAGAAAUUCCCUGUGGUUAUUUAAUCUGAGUUUCUUAUAAUACAGGUACAUACAGUUUCAUCAAAAAGAUGCCUUCAUCAAACCUAAAUGUCAUGGCCUGAACUAAAAGAAAGGGUAGUCUUGCUUGUUUAUUAAUUACUGAAGUGAUACAAAAGUUACCAUCAUUGCUAGCUAAGCUUGCAACAGUAACCUGUUGCCUUGUUUAAAAUGGACCCUGCCUGCUGCUUGAAUUGAUGCAGCUUUAGUUUUUAGCCAAGUUCAUGCUGCAUUUCCUGCCUGCACUAAAUUUUCUGCCUGGACAGAUAAUCCAUGGGACCAUGAUCAGAUUACUACUUUAGUUUUACUUGAAUAAACCGAGUAGGUUGAGCCUCCUGGACUCAGCUGUUUCUCAGGCCACAGAACUGAAAUGCCCCUUGGUGUUCCAUCAAAUAGGACUGCUGCAGUAUCCCUUGAGUGGCUUGGCUACGUGCUUUUUUCCAGGGAUCCUUUCCUCACCUCGCGGUUCUGCAAAGUAAGUCUUCUUCUUGUUGCAAUGAAUAUUGCGACAAGUGUGAUGAUUCGAUUUAAUGAGAUUUGCAUUUCUAAACAUGGUUAUUUUUAUGCAGUGUUGGCUAGCACUAUAGUAUCAUGAGUUAGACUACUAAAUCAGGACUAAAGUAGUUCCUGGUAGGGAUCAAGAGUCUGGAUUUUGUUUCAGUUUUGUUUUUCUUACGUGUGCUGCCACUACACUGACUUCUCUUAGAUUGCGCCUUGUGUUCCUUGGUGAGACUGAGGGAAUAACAGAUCUUACUAACUCAACAGAGUAUGGGGGUACCUCAUAAAAUUGCAUCAAGAAUAAAUUUUCUUAAAUCACGAAGCCAGUUAUUUAUCAAACAUAGGCAGUUUCCAUUGUUUGAAGCUGGGUCAAAAUACCAUCUCACUCCAGCCUACUGUCCUGGGGAAACUUCAAGUCUGCUGUUUUGGAAUCACUGAAUUUCUUUACAGAAAUCUCGCAUCUCUCCUGUAUCAUCACAGCAUCACCAUGGAAACUAAUAAUAUGCUCCAGUUUUCAGGAAAUGCUCUCAACACUGUAAGAUUAGCUGUUUUAAAUGAGAUAACUGGGCUCAGCGCCUUUGCAAGUUGUUUACUUUGUCAUAGUUACAGCAGCAGCCUGGAACCCUGAUUAUUGUCUAACUUAACCUGAGGAUGUACCCACUUGUAUAUAACCUUUUUUAUGUUCAUUAUGCCGAUGCUCAGCUCUUUCAGCAUCUUAUUUAGUGCCACUGGUAGCUCAGCACUUUAGCUGGAAUUCCCUUGGUGACUCGUCACUUGGGUCCUCUGUGUUGGGUGACAGUUCUCCUGGGACAUUACGCCUGUUCACCUGUUCAUGAUGGGUACGAGCAUAACCUCGCUACUGCAUCUAAAAGCCUGAUGAUGCUUUUAUGACUUCAAAGACAAGAGAAGAAAUGAGGUGUCUUGUAGUCAUCACCGAUUCUUUAAUUGCCUUUGUAGAAUCAAUAGGUAGGAGGAUGAGAAGCAAUUGUCUAUGAUCUGAAUUAAUCUGUGCAGUUAUGGGAGGGAUAAACUGCUGGUUUUUCUAUCAGCCCUUCUACAGUAGUAAGAACUGAUGGAAACCAGUUUUCCCAGGAAUAAAAUUUUUGUUCCUCAGUUGUCAUUGUCAAGAAAAGAAGGAAAUUAGGACCAAGUUGUUCUACUAAAAUAUGAUCCAUUUUUUCACAUAGAGCUUAUUCUCAGCCACCAUUCCCUUUUGCCACUGUACGUUCGGAACACUUUUAUUAGUUGGAGACAGCAGUGGUGGUUAGUUAGAGGUUUUUUGUGUUUUUUGUUUGGUUUUUUUUUGGUUUGUUUGUUUGUUUUGGGUUUUGUUUGGUUUGGUUUGGUUUUUAAGUGGCAGCUUGUGAAAUGUACAUUGACUACCUGGUAGUUAAAGGGAAAAACAAUCAGUAUUCCCCACGUGGGUACAGUAUUACCUGCAAAUACUCACAGCCUAAAUAUGACAAGGUGGUUGCUCGCCAGUGGGAGAGUCAAGUCGUCGGGCUCUGCAGUGACAGGCUGCCCUCACCCUUGCCAAGGGGCCUCCCACUGAAGCGUACCCACGCUGCAUUGUCAUCUACUGCUAUCAAGUCACUUCUUAUGACAAAUCAUGGGUGUAAGAACCACUUUUUCUCACUACUUAACAUAUCUGGGUGGCCCCUUGUAAGAGAUUUUCUUUUUUCUGUACAAAGUGGAUGAGAGAUGAACUGUGCUGCCAACAAGGUCCGGCUGAUACCAGAGAUAAUCUCAGCUGAACGGAAAUUCAAAAAUCACAGUGACUAAAAUACUUUUAAUCCGUGCCCAUUAGUUAGUUUGUUUCUUUGAAAAAGGGUCAUCUUUUCCUUUAUUAUGCUAGAAUCUAAGAAAAUAUACGAGGAAAAAAAGUGUAUUUAAAAAUGCACAUUAUUGCUGGCUGAAAGUUCAGGCGGUCUUGUGAGUUCUGAUACUGGCGUACUUACUGCAAACUGAAUCGUCAGGGACCAACAGCAUUGCAGACUGGCCAGAGGCUGGGUUUUGGUAAUGUGUCUUAAGAAAACACUUAAUGGAUAAUCUCAUCCGCUCUUUGCUACACUAAUAACUGGUACUAGGUUUUGGGGAGGGUCCCUCAGUACCAGAGGACAAAUGAGUUAAUACGAAAACAGCAGAGCUAAAGAUGGUUUGUUUCAAAGAUGCAUGUUCUUAAUAUCUCUGGGCCCCUGCGCUUAUCACCUCCCUUCAAUAACCUACGUUUUUCUUCCCUUCCUUUUGCAUUCCUUAAGCAUCCUCAUCAAGGAAAAGACAACAUAUGCUGUGACUAAUCUGCUGCUGUGCAUACAGGUUUUUUUGUGGCUCCUGCCAUGCAGAAUGUGUAACAGCUGAACUGCACCAACCUCUGCCCCCUGCCCCCUGAGCGACACAGCUCCGUACCAAACAUUUACAUGCACACACAUUUACUUUAUGUCCUUUCCUGGCGGCAACCCCUUAGAAUGCAAAUACAGAUACAAAAGCUUCAUGUUAAUUAAGUGGGAUACAAUUAGAGUGGAUUGUUUUAUUUUAAAAAUGUGGACUUGACAACUGACUGCUCUUUGGACGGUAGAAUUGAAAACGCUCAGUUUCUCAUAUGUUUUCCUGCUGCCCUUGCUUCCCCCAUGUCUGUUUUGGAUACUGCUGCAGUACCCAGAGUCCAGAGCCUCCGAUUUUCACAAAAUUUGCAAGAACGCACUAUCUUAAGACCUCUGUUCUGCCCUUAAGCUUGGCUAAAAUUAGCUAAUAGGUUCAGAAGAGCAACAAGGCUGACAGGCAGAUAGCAUAUGUUUAAUUUCAUUAUGAAAUGAGGCUAAAAGAGGCUGUAGAAGGGAUUCUCCAGUGUGCUGUAUUUGCGGUUGACUGCACAGAUGCAGUGACAGAAAGCAGCUUUCAUCCAAAUGUAUUUUCGAUUACAGGGAUGGCAGUACCAGGGCAGCUGCAUUCCUGCCUCCUUUAAUGGUGAGAAUGGCCGAGGGACACGUGGCCAGUGGCUCGCAACUCAGUGUUGUUUUCUCCUUGCCUGAUGUGCAGAGCUACACUCCCCACGCAGUAUUCCAGCACCGCUCUCAGCACAAAAUAAUUUUGGUUUGGGCUUUUUCUAUAGCAUUCAUCACAGUAGCACCUGGGUACUUACACUGUUUUCUCUCAAGAGCAGUGUGGGGUGAGGAGGGUUCUGUAAUACCUGUUUCUAUGCAAGGGAAAUGAGAGGUAGGAUGUUUUAUGUCAAAAGCAUCUUCUAGUGUUGAUUGCCCUCUUCCGAGAUAGAAUCGUAGAAUCAUUCAGGAUGGAAGAGACCUUUAAGAUCAUCAAACCCAACCGUUAACUCAGGACUGCCAAGUCCAUCACUAAAUGAUGUCCCUAAGUCUUUUAAAUAAAUCCCUCCAGGGAUGGUGACUCCACCACUUCCCUGGGCAGCCUGUUCCAGUGCUUGACAACCCUUUCGGUGAAGAAGCUUCCCCUGCCAAGAUCCAAUCUAAACCUCCCCUGGUGCAGCUUGAGGCUGCUUCCUCUCAUCCCUCUGUUUGUUACUUGGGAGAAGAGACCAAGUGCCUAGGGCAUGCUUUCUCAGGCCAUUUGGCAUUACACAUAAUUUCAUUAUGUUCAAAUCACAGCUCUCACUGUCCUCAGUUGCAGUUAUAAAUGCUUGAGAUCGCUGUAUUUCAGACCCUGGGCCUCAGUUUGUUAUGCAGGGGAAAAAAAAAGAAAACAUAUCUGAAGUAUGAUGGCAAUAACUGAAUUGUGAACUGUAUGCUGCCAGCUGGGAAGGAAGCCAAUUAGAAAUAUCUGAUUGCUUUAAUGAUAGACAGUCCAUUCUCUUCCUGCAACCUCCUGCUUGGAUUUCUGCCCCAGUAGAGGGAACUUGGUGACCUGAGACCUAGUGUCUCAUGUCACUCCCCAGUAUCCCACUGCAAGGCUACCGCAAAGGCGGUUUCGCUGUGUCUGUAGUCCAAUGAUAUGGAUCCUUCAGUGGGGUGGCUCGGAUCUUCAGCAGCUUGUAUUUUAACAGUAGGGUGCUGUCCACUUGUUAUAGAGAGGCCCCUUCCCGUAUUUUUCACUAGUUAAGUUUCCAGAUUUAUUUGCCCUGCCAUUUCUGCAUUCCUGACUCCCAACCUAACCUGGAGGGGCCCUACUGUUUCCCAGGGAAUAGCCGGAAAGUACUGGUGAUUCCAUUUCAUUAGCAACAGAGGCAGGGGUCUUACCUGUAACUUUUUUUCACUGUACUUCACUGAUUUUUAUCGACAGUGGGAUCCUCCUGUGAAGCAUGACCCUGUGGGAAGAACGGACCCAUCUAACAGAAGAGUUUCACAGUAUAGACGGGCAGGGGACAAGAUCACUGCUGAAUUGUCUAAUCUGGAUAAUUCCCAUUUUCUUGAUAUUUAAAUUUGAGAUCUAAUAAUAUCUCAAGGUUUGAUGUUUAUAUAAUUUUUAAAGAUUAAACAGAAAAAAAGAAAAAUAAAUAAAUACAUAGUGUUCAUGGAUGCCUCAUGAGGGGCAUUUAAAUUUGAUGCAAUGAAUCUUAAGACCGUCAACUGACAUCUGAGCCCUGACACCGCUGAAGUAAAUUGACAUCCACUUUGUUGACCAGCAGGGACAGACGCAGCAUUCUUGACUUUUCGGUUUCACGGCUAAGAAUCAGGAAUCUCAGGUUCUUCCCAGUUUUUGUGGGACUAAAACUGUGUGUUCCAUGCACACUGAGCUCUUGUCACGGUCUCUUACAACUCCUAGAUUUCCAGUUCCCACCUCCACUCCUAAAACUGUUCUUCCCAAUACUAUUUUAGCUUGCUGAUUCAGUUUAAAACUAACCUUCUCUGCCCCGUCCCUGUCCUCCCUGCCCCAGGCUCCUUUAGCCCUGGUCUCUUCCCUGAUCCAGUUUGCCACGCAGCUCCACAAAAGCAGCAUGGGCAUGAUUUUUGAGAAAUCAUAGAAAUGAAACAAGAGGCAAGGGAAGAGCUGUUUAAAAUAAAUACUUCUCCCAAAACAGACAAUCUUUUGCCAAAUAUGGCAAGUCAUACUCAACAAAAAGCUCAUCAAAUUGGUACGUCCAGUUCUGUGGCUGUCCUGCGGCUCCAGGUGCGCCUGGGCCACAGGGGGACAAACACCAUGACGCCGGGCGAUUCCUCCAACUGCGCCAGUGUCCGACUGGCAGGCGUUGUGUGUGGGGCACCAUUCAUUCAUUACCCUUUGUGUGACAACUGGUGCGCACCCCGCUGUCCUGCAACACUGAAAUUCCAACCCUUCUUACUGCUGAUAACCUGAUGACAUACCUGUCGAGUGCAGGACAGCUGGGAGGCCUUGACCUACAGCAACUUAUGACACGAGCUGUUUACUUUUACUAAUAGAAUGUUGAACAAACCUGAUUACAGUGGCAUAAGGACCUUUGCAAGAAGGGAAAUACUUGGUGAAGAAAGAAGGCAUCCUGAAUCCGACAUGCAGGGCGUAAAAACCUGCCGGUGCUGGAAAUGACUUGCUGUUGCCUCUCCUGGAAGGGACGAGAAGACAGAGGAUUGGAAAGUCUGGAUAUCAUUUGCCUAGACCACCGAAGUUAGGGAGGAAAGAGAGAGAAUUAGCGGAAUGUCAAGUGACUUUCUGCUCAUGAGACAGGCACAGUCCAGGUUCACCGUGACCCUCUCAUCACCACCACGGUGACCCCUGCACACAUCUCUGCUUUUGCUACAGAUCCUGAAACCGUGUAGCUGACUCAGCGGGGAGCGAAUCUCCCCAAGUUCUCAAUGUUUAACCUCUUCCUGUGCCGAUUACGACGUAGGAAACCCUGUGUUGUCCCAGGCAUCACCCAUUUGCUUCAUGGGGGAAGGGAAAUAAAGCAGCGGUUGUUUGCA